UGAAAAUAAUCAUUUGCCGUUCGUAUAUCCUCGACAAUAUGGGUCGAAAGUAUCUACCAGAGCACCGUAAAUGCUUUGACUAUGAAGGCAGAACAUCCAUAU
rfam:Virgibacillus pantothenticus strain DSM 26 super13, whole genome shotgun sequence.